UACGGGGGGGGCAAGCGUUGUUCGGAAUUACUGGGCGUAAAGGGCUCGUAGGCGGCCAACUAAGUCAGACGUGAAAUCCCUCGGCUUAACCGGGGAACUGCAUCUGAUACUGGAUGGCUUGAGAUUGGGAGAGGGAUGCGGAAUUCCAGGUGUAGCGGUGAAAUGCGCAGAUAUCGGGAGGAACACCAAUGGCGAAGGCAGCUCGCUGGGACGGUACUGACGCUGAGACGCGAAAGCGUGGGGAGCAAACAGG
rnacentral:rRNA from 1 species